rnacentral:rRNA from 1 species
AGAGUUUGAUCCUGGCUCAGGAUGAACGCUAGCUACAGGCUUAACACAUGCAAGUCGAGGGGCAUCAGUUUGGUUUGCUUGCAAACCAAAGCUGGCGACCGGCGCACGGGUGAGUAACACGUAUCCAACCUGCCUCAUACUCGGGGAUAGCCUUUCGAAAGAAAGAUUAAUAUCCGAUAGCAUAUAUUUCCCGCAUGGGUUUUAUAUUAAAGAAAUUCGGUAUGAGAUGGGGAUGCGUUCCAUUAGUUUGUUGGGGGGGUAACGGCCCACCAAGACUACGAUGGAUAGGGGUUCUGAGAGGAAGGUCCCCCACAUUGGAACUGAGACACGGUCCAAACUCCUACGGGAGGCAGCAGUGAGGAAUAUUGGUCAAUGGGCGAUGGCCUGAACCAGCCAAGUAGCGUGAAGGAUGACUGCCCUAUGGGUUGUAAACUUCUUUUAUAAAGGAAUAAAGUCGGGUAUGCAUACCCGUUUGCAUGUACUUUAUGAAUAAGGAUCGGCUAACUCCGUGCCAGCAGCCGCGGUAAUACGGAAGAUCCGAGCGUUAUCCGGAUUUAUUGGGUUUAAAGGGAGCGUAGAUGGAUGUUUAAGUCAGUUGUGAAAGUUUGCGGCUCAACCGUAAAAUUGCAGUUGAUACUGGAUGUCUUGAGUGCAGUUGAGGCAGGCGGAAUUCGUGGUGUAGCGGUGAAAUGCUUAGAUAUCACGAAGAACUCCGAUUGCGAAGGCAGCCUGCUAAGCUGCAACUGACAUUGAGGCUCGAAAGUGUGGGUAUCAAACAGGAUUAGAUACCCUGGUAGUCCACACGGUAAACGAUGAA